GAUGAAGAACGUAGCGAAAUGCGAUAAGUAAUGUGAAUUGCAGAAUUCAGUGAAUCAUCGAAUCUUUGAACGCACAUUGCGCCCGUCAGUAUUCUGGCGGGCAUGCCUGUUCGAGCGUCAUUACGCCCCUCAAGUCCCCUGUGGACUUGGUGUUGGGGAUCGGCGAGGCUGGUUUUCCAGCACAGCCGUCCCUUAAAUUAAUUGGCGGUCUCGCCGUGGCCCUCCUCUGCGCAGUAGUAAAACACUCGCAACAGGAGCCCGGCGCGGUCCACUGCCGUAAAACCCCCCAACUUUUUAUAGUUGACCUCGAAUCAGGUAGGACUACCGCUGAACUUAAGCAUAUCAAUAAGCGGAGGA
rnacentral:misc_RNA from 1 species